CCUACGGGGGCUGCAGUGGGGAAUAUUUGGCAAUGGGCGCAAGCCUGACCCAGCAACGCCGCGUGAAGGGAGAAGGCUUUCGGGUUGUAAACUUCUUGUUACAGGGGAGAGUAGAAGACGGUACCUGUCGAAUAAGCCACGGCUAACUACGUGCCAGCAGCCGCGGUAAUACGUAGGUGGCAAGCGUUGUCCGGAUUUACUGGGUGUAAAGGGCGUGUAGCCGGGUUGCCAAGUCAGAUGUGAAAUCCUGCGGCUUAACCGCAGAGCUGCAGUUGAAACUGGUGGUCUUGAGUGCUGGAGAGGAAGACGGAAUUCCUAGUGUAGCGGUGAAAUGCGUAGAGAUUAGGAGGAACACCAGUGGCGAAGGCGGUCUGCUGGACAGCAACUGACGGUGAGGCGCGAAAGCGUGGGGAGCAAACAGGAUUAGAUACCCCGGUAGUC
rnacentral:rRNA from 1 species